UAACACUAAUGUUUCUUCAUUCGAGAAAAAAUCUCUCACCUUUUACUAGAGAUUUCCGUGGGGAGGCAUAAUACAAUGAGUUUAGUCUCUUUUUUUUCUUACAUAUACAUUAUGCUAUGAA
rnacentral:snRNA from 1 species